UCCGCUCGCUGAAUGGAGGGCGUGUCGCGCGCACGUUCCUAUCGUCUGCUUGUCAAUACGAUCGUUGGAUGUCAUCAGAAGACUGCCAAAUGAUGGACUUCCUCUUCAAUAUAAUGAGCAGCAUGUUCACGUUCAGAUCGCCAAACCUUGUACUUGAUGGGUGAAACGAAUUGUAUUCGUAUGCAACAAGUAUACAUGUAAUUGACAGAGUCGAUUCCAUUCCCAUCAUUCAGCUGAUGAACCAGAAUUCUUACAGGAAAACCUUGUCUUCCAUGCCGGCAAUACAAACGGAGUUGAAAGUGUCCUAGUUCAUCAACUUUAGCAUACAUUGCAUUCCGGUACGGCUGUGUGCAGUGCAACGUUUGGUACCAGGUUUUAGCGCUUACGAGCGGCACUGUCACCUCUCAGGGUCAAGGUCAUGAGAUGUUUGACCUCUGCAUCUCUCAGAGUCAAGCACUUUUUGAUAUCCUGUGAACUUUGAUCUAUGAAUAUUGAUAUUUUUGAACUGUGAAUGCUGACUUUGCAAGAGAAUAUGUUGUAUGUUGAUUUUGAAUUUAUUUUUGAUGAUGCUUAAAUUGUUGUUUGUUGGGGCCUGCCCUUGAUCAUGCUGGCGGUCCGUCACUUUUGUGUUGUGAAUACAGCCGUGCCCAUGAACGCCAUAAUAAAGCAAUAUUAUUCA